rnacentral:rRNA from 1 species
ACGUGCAAGCAGCCGCGGUAAUACGUAGGGUGCAAGCGUUAUCCGGAAUUAUUGGGCGUAAAGAGCUCGUAGGCGGUUUGUCGCGUCUGCUGUGAAAUCCCGAGGCUCAACCUCGGGCCUGCAGUGGGUACGGGCAGACUAGAGUGCGGUAGGGGAGAUUGGAAUUCCUGGUGUAGCGGUGGAAUGCGCAGAUAUCAGGAGGAACACCGAUGGCGAAGGCAGAUCUCUGGGCCGUAACUGACGCUGAGGAGCGAAAGGGUGGGGAGCAAACAGGCUUAGAUACCCUGGUAGUCCACCCCGUAAACGUUGGGAACUAGUUGUGGGGUCCUUUCCACGGGAUUUCCGUGACGA